CAGGCAAGUCGCAAAGUGGAACGCAGCGGCGAACGAGCUAAGAAAGUCAGUUGAAAACAGUGGAAACGCGGUGCCAGUCACUUUUUUUCAUUGCACAUAGAGAGAGGGCCCUGUAUACUCAGCAGCCUACCACCAACAAUCAACCAACCAACCGACCAGCCCAACCAACAUACCUGUCGUGUUGGCCACGUUUGUGGCGAUCCGAUCAGUGCACCGUCAGCCAGCGACGCGCACACACCGAACCACACAAUCCAGCAGUCUGGGAAACGAACACCACUGUAUAUACUAUCAAGCGAAGUGUUAGAGAUAAACUGAUAAUACAACGGAGCCGAGAAAAGAAAAGCACUAACGUGGCGUUAACUCUUUUAACUAAAAAACACUCACUCACUCAACCAAAAAAAAAAAAAAACGUCAGUAAAGACAAUAAACAAAGUAAAACAAAAACGAGUCAGCGGCAAAGUGUCAAUAAAACUCUCGAAUUCAUUAACACAACUCAAAACGUUCUAUUAGUAAGCACUUGCAAAUUUAAACGAAACAAAAAAAAAAAAUCUUGACAGAGAGAGAGAGAGACAGAGAGCGAUAAAAGGAGAGGGAACAUUAGACAGAAAUUAGCGUGGCCAACAGUCAAAAGGUCUAAUAGAAGCGCGUGUAUACGAGUCAAAAUGCCCGUAUACACCUCGUCGAGACCCACAAGCCAUGAUCGUAAAAACCACAUCAACAAAUGUUCGAAACGAGAUAAAAAAAACAACAACCGAGAAUAUAUGAAAAAUACAGAAAAAAAAGAUACAAAAACCCAGACGAGACCGCUGAGACAUGUCCUUGGCCUGUAAAAGGGCAGUGAAAUUCCUGGCACUCCAUAACAACAUCAUCAAAGGAUGGUGCGCAACUUCGGUUCCCAGGAGUCCUUUCAGCUGAACCGCUCUACUGAAGUACAGAAUUACAGAAAUUCAAAGCCCCCCCGCUGAAGUAUGCCAUAAGGUAAGUCAGCCAGAGAGAUGCUGUUUAUGGUUUUAAUUAAACGGGGGCAACAUUGGUGCGCCUCAUUAGCGGCAAUUUGUUGGGCAUGCCGCCAUCAAAUCGAAUCGAGUAGCCUUUUUCACGGAAGCCACACGGUCCCCAGAUAACCCACAAUCCACUAUGCACUAUCCAGUAUUCAGUGUUCGCUGCUCGGUACAUGUACAACCAUACAUACAUACAUACAUACAUAACCGAUACUGGAUAAGCUGGCACCGGAGUUUCAGCCCGGAGUUCCAGUUCCCGCCGCCGGACCUGCUAAUUAUGCAUGUGUACUGUGUGACGGGCUCAUGGGGUUUCUCGGUUGUUAGGUUCCUCGAUUUCUCGGCUUCUUGGGGCCUUAGCCUUAUCUAUCAAAGCGUUGCGGGGCAUAAAAUUCAAAUUGACACUACUGCGACGAGUGAAAGCGUGUGAACUGAACUUGAGACGUGGCACAGAUAAAGAUAUACCGCAUAGACCAAACAGUCGGCGGAGCUAUAUAAAUUAAACUGAAACCGCAAAUAAACAUGAGGUUUUCCAAUGGGUGGCAAACAAGUGGUGAAAUAGAUAACGAGUCAGACGCGUGACAAAUGCAUAGAGAGAACAAAUUGUUUAGCAAAGAAAUAGUUUAAAAUCUUACAAAGAAAUUAAAUACAUACAUUUCAAAAUACUUUUGACCAAAAAUCAGUUGAGAUAUCCGUGACUCACGCACAUUCUCGCAAUCUCCUCAUUUUCAUGCAUAUGCAAACCGGGCAAGACAACAAACAGAAAAACACAUUUAAGAAAAACAAACCAACAAAAGCCGCUGGCACAACAAUCACCGAGCUUAACCCAUAAAUCUACACAUGUUUACAUUGGCUUAGCCACUCGAUUUGAGGCCGUUUUCUGAGCCCGGUGCGCUUCCAUAUCAGUUGACAAAUUUGUCAACUUGCCUGGCAACUUGAAUGACAUUUUCCAAACCAAUUUCCCCCGACCAACCACCACCACCACCAAAAGUGGAAACCACCCAAAGGAAAUCCAAACAAUGGACAAACAGCGAACAACUUGAGUCAGCUGCGACGCUUUCAAUUCAUGAAAUGGACAAUUGUUGUCUCGCAACGUUGACUCAAUUGAACAAGGCCCACAGAAACAGGUAACAAUAUUGGCCAUCAGCAGCGGCAACGGUAGCAGUCAACAACUGUAAUUACUCCGACUGCGAUAAGGUUGGCCAAGUUGAAGUUGGAGUUGCACAAGUCAGUCUUAUCAGACAAUAAAUUGCAGUUGGAUGAGUCAAUUGUUUUUACUUUAAUGGAUGCCUCUCUGCUUUUUGUUAAUGAAAGUCAUGCAUGUAAUAGGAAGUUAUGCUCACACAGCACAGAAAUGUAGAAGUAUUUGUUUGUUUUCCUUCCAUGGAUGUCAUAGAUUUUCAAAGGAUAUAUGAUUGGCUUUUUGCUUAAGGCCAAACUACCAAGUUCAUAGAUAUAUAAUUCGUUUUGCUUUUCCAAAGCUUAUACAUUAUUACAUUGAGUGUGAUCACAACAAAUUAUAAAAAUGCAAUGUAUAAGCCUAUGCGUUACUACGCCUCCAUGGUUAGAACAUAAAUCAUGGCCAUAUCUUUAUCAACUAUCUGCUAUCUAAUGCCAUCGAUGCAGCUGCUACCGGCCAGAAGUCGAAGAUAAAUGCGACCGCGAAAACUUUGACAAGCGAUUAACUUUACAAUUUAUCGCCGAGCAAUUUGAAUCGUCGUAAAUCUCGGCGCGGCAGCUAACCGUGUGUUAAGAACUGGUGCCCCGGCUCAUGUUGCGUCAUUAAUUUAACCAGUUGUUGCAACAAGUAUUAGCUCAGCCAUUGGGUCAGGUUCGAGGCGCUCUCUAAGUAUCGCCCUGAUUAAAACAUCAGGCCGAGCUUGGGGUAAAGUUGUUCCACCAGUCGAGUGGAGCCCCUCCGCUGCUCCACUGGCACUUUGCCACUCGACUCCUCUUCUGCUUAUCCCAUGGAGUCUGUUUUUAUUUAUGCAUGUUUAAACAUAUUUAAUGUCAUUACGGGCACCUCUUGCGCCCAGCGCCCAUGCCACAAAACACGCAUUUAAUUAUCUGCCCGGCUCCACAUGCCCCAUGCGCAUUAAUUUAAUGAACGCAUGCAUUUCACAUUUUUAUCAUGUCCAAUUGGAUGGAGGAGGGGCAUUUGGAGAUCUGCGAGGGAUCUGGGGGCAACUCGGGGGAUCGCUGGUGUAUCCCGGUAGCUGUCCGGCCUGUUCCAAUAUAUUUAUUGCAUCGUCGCCUUCAAUGUGGUUGCUCUGGUUAGCGCUGCCGUUGUUGUCGUUGUCGUCGUCGCGUUUUUAAUCGCAUUUAAUAUUUCAUUUUAUUAAGCCAAUCGUUGAGUCCAGCAGUUGGGUGUGCAUCUGCAUCUUCAUCUUCAUCUCCAUCUGCGCGAAAUGUGCAUCGCCAUGUCCGCGAAUGUCUGCUGAUCGUCUGGCGAGCAGUGAGCAAUUUGCUUAAUGCUGUCAUAAGGCUGUCAGUUUAUCAUUUGCAUUGCGGCGCCUUUGGCGACAUGGAGAUGACACUUAAUAAGUAGCCAACUUAGUUGCCACCAAUUGCUAGCUGGCCGUUAAGAGUGGUCAGCUUGGAGUUGGCAGUUGGUUGGUUGGUUAGCUGAUGGAAACGGACGAAAUGCCAGACAUUUCAUUACUGCCAUGUGGCUGCCACAACUCUGCAGCUGCAAACUGAAUACAAACUGCAUUCCAUUGAGCCAGCCAAGCGAAGUGUAGCAGAGCAAUUGUCAAUUGCACCACCCUAUAAAAGAAUGCACAGGAAGAAAUUCUAUAUUUUCAAACUAUUUUAUACAUUAAAAAUCCAAUGAAAGUAAAAAAUGUAUAAUGUAAUCAAAGUUAAAAUGUACAGCUAGUUUAUAUAUCAGGUUCCCAUACCAUCUUAAAAUUUUAGUAGUUUCGGGACAAAAAAUGGGUAAAUCAACUGUGGCAACCUAUUGAGGCAAGUUUUUGUUGCUCCUGUUUCCUGUCGUUACAUGAGAUGCACGUUGUAAGCGGAUAGGCUGUGAGGGUUGUUCAGAAAUUCACUUAAUAAUAAUAUUGCAUUAUAUAUUCAAUGUGAAAGCUUUAACUGAAAUGAUUAUCUAUGAAACAUUUAAAGAGUAUUACAUUCAAUAUGUGAUAUACAAUUUAAAUUCAAUACUCACCAAUCUGCCCUCGCUUCGUACCCAUUGAUACUUAUGCCAAUUACCAUUCUCCGUUCGCCUCUUUGCAGACAAAUGCCAUGGACUCGCUUACAAUUUGGUCUCGUCUUGUCAAUCAAUUGGGAUCGAGUCGGGGUCUAGAACUGGAAAUGGCCAAGGAUGACCGGCGACCGUUUCCUGUUUGGGUUGGCAAGUUGGUAAGUUAAUACUCGGACUAGGCUCUAACUUAAUUAGCCGCACGACAGACUGAAGACUAAAGACUGAAUGCCGAAAGCACACGACCCCGACCUCUGGUGACCUCAAAGCUGACGGAGGCGACUAAUUUAUCAAAAUGGCUAGAAAAACUGAAAUAACUCUACGCAUAAUUAAAUCCAGCUAAAAACGAAAAAUGAGUGAAACACCGCGAUACUCAAAUGCGUUUUUAAACCGUUGCGCAACGCCUAUUUCUAACAGUUUUAAAUUUUGUUGAGACUUUUCUUUGGUGUUUUGUUCGAAUUUUUCUUUUGCUUAAUUGCCGCCUAUUAAUCCCGACUCCGUUAAUGGUCUCACAAACAAAAAUUCUAAUUAAUGAAAUAUUUUUCGGCCUUUUGCAUGCAUUGUCUACUGUAGGCAUUCCAGCCCACCGAAAGUAUAAUCAAUCAUGGCCCAAGACCUCAUGGAUCUCACAGAUGGUGGAGAUUUUUGGACAAAGUGAACUUGAGUGUGUUGACAAAUUUGUGAGUUGCCGGCAUGGAUUGACAGGAAAAUUGAGUAAUCAAUCAUGGGCCAUCAAACGAAGCCGACCACAGCGAAUUGGCCUUCGAAAGGUCUGUUUAGUUAGUUAGCGAAAUCAAGUCUUAUCAACUGAUGAUGCACGUCGCGGCCAUUAUUUAAAUGCUAAUGUUAAUUAACGAAAUCACGUUAGUCGAGAAUGUUGACAAAAAUCUCACAAUCAGUAGUAGUAGUUGCUGCUCGAACAAGUUGAUUCAGGUUUGCUUAUAUUUUUAGUCGCUGUGCCUCGCAUGCGAUUGAAACGAAAUAUAAAAUUACAUUAAAUUACCGGAUGUAAUUGCGGUGGUCGUGCCAGUCGCCUCUCUCAACCCGGUCAAUGAAUCACGGCCCGGCGCACACGAAAUGCGUCGAAACAAAAGACUCAGGCAACGAACUCGAAUUCAACUCGGCCAGAUUUCAAGCGGCCGAGCACUUCACUUACGUAUGUCCAAAUCAGGGAAACCAGCAACCCACACAGAAUGGUAGAAAAAUCGAAAAACAAAUGAAGAGAGACCCACACAGAAAGGCCAGUUGAGUGGUAUCUUAUCAGGGCUAACGAUUUUGUCAAAUGACAAUUUUCUUGGCCCCAUUGAAUGCCUCUUUUUCACGCCAUUCAUUGACUUUUGUAUGGUCCAUUUAGUUGUCAAUUAUUUUUGAUAGCCUCAGCUGAGGCAGCUGAUAAGAACUGGUGACUAGCAAGCACAAGACUUGUUUAACAAUCCCAGGAAAUCCGUACAUUGAAAAGAGGAGGGGAAAUAGAGGACACCAUCGGAUCUGUGGCUGUGGAUCCAGCUACUGCCUCUCUCCGUUUUGGCCAAAUUUGCAUAUUGAACGGCAGUUUGUCUUGAGCCUGAGCUUUUAGUUAUGGCCGAGCAUUAAAUUUAACUAUUAAGCCAUUUUCGGAGGCCAGUUUUGUGGAGCUUGACUUUCCAAACAUUGUCCCCUGACAGUUGUACCCUAUGGGAAUUAUUUUCUUUUUUUUUCUGCCGCAAUUUAUGAGCCAAAAAGACACAGAUAGACAGAAUGAUUAACAUGAAGUGGAGAGGCAUGGGAACCUUGGAUUGGCAAAGUGAAAUGUUGAAAGCAAUAUAACUUUGACAUAUAAUUAAACAGAAAUAAAGGCUUUAUUUCUUAAAUCAAUGGUUCACUCAAUAGUGGCACACCCAAGUAGGUUUAUAUACACUAGCUUGCCAGCUGCAAUUGAAAAAAAAAACAAUUGCAAGAGUCGACUUAAUUUCAUCAUAAAAAUGCGAAUUAUCUCCAGAUGAAAUUCAUUUCUUGCAACUCAAUCAAGAGGCAUGCAACAGAGGCUGCUGACCUAUAUAUGGUUAAUAAGAAUCAACUUACAUGCCCGCAAAUGUAUGUAGGAAUGCUGGUGGCAUAAAGACCAUACAGAUAUACAGAUAUCCAUAUUGAUAUCUCCACCUCUGUUGCAUUUCGGUUCGUGCAACAAUUUUCGUCGAAAACAAUUUUCAGAGCACGAAACGAAACGUAACGAAAACGGGAGGGGAAAGAUCAGUGCAGAAAAUGAGAAAUUUUCGCAGUGCAUCAUAUGCCACGCACGUAGAAACCAAACCAAAAGCAAACGAAACAGUAACAAUCAGACAAUCAUGCACAUAAUCAUGCCAUCAAUAUAUGGCAAUUAUCAAUGAAAUUUAUAACAAUCCACGAAAUGUAACGAAAACUUAACCGACCAAUAAAAAUUUCAUUUUUCAAAAAGGAGCGCUCAACUCACUGCAGUUCGUCAUCCUCGUUCUGCAAG
ensembl:ncRNA lncRNA:CR43314 long non-coding RNA::CR43314